rnacentral:rRNA from 1 species
UACGGGGGGGGGCAAGCGUUGUUCGGAAUUACUGGGCGUAAAGGGCUCGUAGGCGGCCAACUAAGUCGGAUGUGAAAUCCCCAGGCUUAACCUGGGAACUGCAUCCGAUACUGGAUGGCUUGAAUCCGGGAGAGGGAUGCGGAAUUCCAGGUGUAGCGGUGAAAUGCGUAGAGAUGUGGAGGAACACCGAUGGCGAAGGCAGCCCCCUGGGCUAACACUGACGCUCAUGCACGAAAGCGUGGGGAGCAAACAGG